rnacentral:tRNA from 1 species
UGGCUCAGACGGUAAAGCAUCUGCCUGCAAUGCAGGAGACCCUGGUUCGAUUCCUGG